UCCGGUUUAGACCGGCGGUCUCCCUAGAGAAGUUAACUAAGGACAAGGGUUGCGCUCGUUGCGGGACUUAACCCAACACCUCACGGCACGAGCUGACGACAGCCGUGCAGCACCUGUGCUCGCUCCCUCGCGGGUCAGCCGACUUUCGCCGACUUACCACGAGCAUGUCAAGCCCGGGUAAGGUUCUGCGCGUUGCAUCGAAUUAAACCACACGCUCCGCUGCUUGUGCGGGCCCCCGUCAAUUCCUUUGAGUUUCAACCUUGCGAUCGUACUCCCCAGGUGGAAUACUUAAUGCGUUAGCUGCGACACUGAAUUUUUACAUCCAACGUCUAGUAUUCAUCGUUUAGGGCGUGGACUAC
rnacentral:misc_RNA from 1 species